CUGAUAGCCUUGAAGCAUCGUCCCCACCGCCGCGGCUGGCUCCGCCUCCUCAAGGGUCCGUGUCAGAGGAACCUGGGCUUCAGGGGCCACACACAGACCGUGAGCUGCAUCGAAAGUUGGGAGACAAGGAGUUUGGGGUAAUACGCAUAUAUCAUUGCAGUGUCUACACUGGGCGUGGGGUCGAUCCAGGUGACUGCAGAAGCAUUACGGCACACGCCUUGCUAAAGUCUGUCGGUUACAUACAAAAGGAGCGCUGCAUUCGAAGUCCUCGUCAGGGAGUUUCGGGGAACGCGCACGUAUUUCUGUAGGAUACCUACUAACGGCACUGAUGUAUUUCAGGGUUCUCUUCGCUGUUUCCUCUGUGGCACUUUCUGAUCCAAUCCAAGAGAAAAAUGUCCUGCGAUAUCACCUCUAUUCUGUUUAUGUUGCUAAGUUACUGGAUAUUUUGCCUUGACUUGCCCAGAAAAGAGUGUUGUCUUUAAAGAGAUAGGCUACGUUCUGGAACGUUUUUGUAUAUGUGCCCUAAAUGUG